UUCCUGAUUUGUUUGUGGGUUUUUUGUUUUGGGGUUUUUUUUAAAACCUAUUUUUAAAAGAUUAUAUGGUCAGACAGGCUGUUUCUUACUUUUUUACCUCACAUGACGCUUCUGGACUGUUGUCUCCUUCAACCUUCUCUCCAGAUAUUUCAAAAUAUUUAAAUCUAUUUUCUUUUACUUGACUAAAAAAUGCUAUUUGGGGGCUGGAGACGCAGCACAGUGAUAGAGCUGGUGCUCAGUAGGAACAAGGCAGUGGGGUUAAACCUUACAUCCCUCCCAAAGAAAUACUACUAGGACUCGAUACUGAUAUUUGGUGUGACAUAUACCCAAGAUGCUAAAGGCGUUACAAUAAAGAACUUUCACCUAACACAGGAAGUCCUUCAUACCCAUCUCCAGCUCGUUUUCCCAAUAGUGGCAACAUCCUAUCAUUACGCAUUAGUUGUGCCUGUUUGAGAAUUUCAUAUAAGUGGAAAUUUUAGUGUUUUUCUUCUGCACCUGACAACUUUUUCCAACAUACUUUUGAGAUUCAGGUAUAUUGUUGUAUGUGUUGCAGACUAUUCCUAUUAAACAAUAAAAUUGUAGCAUCAAAAUCUGUUUAGUCACCUGUGGAUGGACAUUUGACCUGGUCCUAGUUUCGAACUAUUGAUAACAAAGUUGAUACAAAUAUCUGAUCUUUUGGUGGAAAUAUGCUUUCCUUUCUUUAGGUUCUUUCCCUAGAGGAGAUUUGGAAGAUUAUAUUGUAGGUAUUUAUUUUAUUUUUUUAUUUGCAUAUGUUUAACCUUAUAAAAAAUGGUUAAACUGUUAUCUAAGGUUGCUGUACCAUUUUACAUCCUAAUACUCUAAGCAAACUUCACUUGCUCUGCCUCCUUGCCAACAUUUAAUAAUGUCAGUUUAACUCAUUUUAGCCAUUGAUGGGUAGGAAGUAGCAUGUAAUUCUGGCUUUAAUUUGCAUAUGGCCACUCACUAACAAUUUUGAGCACCUUUCCACGUGGUGAUUGGCUAUCUGUACAUGGUAUUUCAUUUUGGAAAAUGUCUGUGAAAGUCUUCUGGGUUGUCAUUUGUAAAAAUAUUUUAUAUAUUCUGAGUAUAGGACCUCUAUCAAAUAUAUGGAUUAGGUAGUUCUCUCACACUGUGGCUUGCUUUUUCAAUUUCCUAAUGCUAUCCUUUGAGCAAAGUUAUUUUAAAUGUGAUUAUGUCUUUUCUUUCAUGGUUGAUACUUUUUUGCAUCCCAUAUAAAUGUUAGAUCUGGAGCUUGAUUUCUGGUACAAAAACAAAAAAGAAAAAGAAAAAGAAAAGAAAUUGCCGCCUCCUGCAAAGUCAUAAACAUCUUUUCUUAGUUUUCUUUUAGAAGUGAUUUGGUUUUAAAGCUGGGCACUGCAGUGCAUGCCUAUACCCCCAGCACUUGGCAAGCCAAACCGGGAAGAUCACCGGGAAUUUGAGGACAGCCUGGGCUACAUAGUGAGUUCAAGACCACCCUGAAUGAUUUAGUAAGACCCUGUCCCCAAAAACAAACAAACUAAAACAAAAUAAAAUGAACUGUUUUAACAUUUGUUUUUAGGGCUAAGAUCCAUCUCAGUACAUUUGUAUGUGUACAUAAAGUCGGAGUCAAGAUACAUUUUUCUGUACACAUAUUUAAUAGUUCUAGCAUAAUUUGUCAAAAUCAGUGUCCUCAAUGAAUUACCUGGACACCUUUGUUUAGAAUCAUUUGCCUGCACUUUAUACCCUCCCCAACUCCAGAGGGGACACACACACACACACACACACACACACACACACACACACAUACACACAAUUUUGGCACAACCAUUCUGUUCUAUUGAUCUAGUUGUCUAUGUUGUACUAAUACCAUACUGUCCUACAGUUUUAUACUAAUUUUUAAAAUUAGGUAAUGUAGAUCUUCCAACUUGGUCUUCUUUUUACAAGAUAAUUUUGGUUAAAUCUUCAUAUUUUAGAAUAAUUUCUACAAACAUAACUUUGAAUUUUUGAUUCAAACAGCUUUGAAAUCUGAUUGGGAUCAUGCUGAACCUGUGGAUCACUUUGGGAAGAACUGAUAUCUUAACAAACUGUCCUCUAGCUCUUAAAUGUGACUGAUAUUUCUAUAUAUUUAGAACUUUUUAAAUUCUUCUCAACAAUGUUUUUUACUUUUCAGCAUAGAGAUUUUGGGCAUUUUUGUGUAUUUCUCAGUGUUUAAUGGUGCUGAUGCUAUCAUAAUAGUACUGGUUUUAAAUUCUACUUACUAAUAUCAUACAGAAAUACAUUUGAUUUUUAUAUGUGCACCUGAUAUCCUGUGAUGUUGCUAAAUUAACAUAUUCUAUAAUGGAGUUUUUUCUCUUUUUCCUUGCAGAUUCUAUAGGAUUUUUUAGGUAGAAAAUUAUGCCAUCAAUGGACAAUUUUAUAGAAAUUGGAAAAUUAUGCCAUCAAUGGACAAUGACAAUUUACCUCUUUCUAAGCUAUUUACAAUUAAUAAAUUAAGUUUUCCUAUCAUAUAGGAUAAAAUUAGAACUCAAAGAGGUGAGGGCAGACAUUUCUGCCUUGGUUCUCAGUUUUACAGGGAAUAUCUUCUAUAUGCCAAUCUUAAUUAUGAUUUUUAUGUCAUAAGUAAGUGCUGAAAUUUGUUUUAUUUUUGCAUCCUUACAGAUGAUCAUAUGUUUUUCUUGUUUUGUUUUCAGACUUUCAAAUAAAAAGUCAAUCUCACACUCUCGGAAUACAUGCCGCUAGGUUCUGAGCUGUCCUCUUGAAUAUUGCUUCCUUUGCUUUAUGAAUAUCCUGCUAAUAUUUGCAUCUUUGAGCCCUGCAUGGUGACGCAUGAGUAUCCUCUCACCUGCCAGGGGGUGGACUGAGGAGGAGCCAAACAGGAGGAUUUGUCCAACCCCGAACCUGUGCAUGCUGGGAUUUACUACGGAGCUACACCCUUACAUCCCUUGUCUUUCUUUCAAUGUGUACAGACAUUCCUCAUUUAAUGACCUACUUGUUUAUGUUAAUGACUGUUUGGACUUAUCACUACACUGUUGAUAACCUCUUUGCUCAGACUUAUGGCCUUUUAAAAAUAUAGUUCUGUAUAUCUUGUUUAUAGACUCUCAGUGUCUUUUUUAUAGUUCACCUUGAUUAUGCAGCACUGUAAUUUUUGCAAAUUGUACUGUGUAGAAUAGUACUGUACUGUAGUUUUAUAAUUUGUUAUACAUUACAGUACUAUAUAUGAGUUAUGUAAUAAAAUCAAUCAUCAAGUUGGA